rnacentral:rRNA from 1 species
UACGUAGGUGGCAAGCGUUGUCCGGAUUUACUGGGCGUAAAGGGAGCGUAGGUGGAUAUUUAAGUGGGAUGUGAAAUACUCGGGCUUAACCUGGGUGCUGCAUUCCAAACUGGAUAUCUAGAGUGCAGGAGAGGAAAGGAGAAUUCCUAGUGUAGCGGUGAAAUGCGUAGAGAUUAGGAAGAAUACCAGUGGCGAAGGCGCCUUUCUGGACUGUAACUGACACUGAGGCUCGAAAGUGUGGGGAGCAAACAGG